rnacentral:tRNA from 5 species
GUCCCCGUCGUCUAGCCCGGCCCAGGACACCGCCCUUUCACGGCGAUAACACGGGUUCGAAUCCCGUCGGGGACGCCA